CCUACGGGUGGCUGCAGUGGGGAAUUUUGCGCAAUGCUCGCAAGAGUGACGCAGCGACGCCGCGUGAAUGACGAAGGCCUUCGGGUCGUUAAGUUCUUUCGACAGGGAAGAAAAUGCCUAUAAGUAACUGUGUAUGUAUUGACGGUACCUGUAUAAGCAGCCCCGGCUAACUCCGUGCCAGCCGCCGCUGUAAUACGGUGGGGGCGAGCGUUGUUCGGUUGUACUGGGGGUAAAGGGCACGUAGGCGGUGUUGUAAGUCAGUCGUCAAAGACUAAGGCUCAACUUUAGUAAGGCUAGUGAUACUAUAAUACUAGAGUAUCAGAGAGGAUUGCAGAAUUCCUGGUGUAGCGGUGAAAUGCGUAGAUAUCAGGAGGAAUACCGUUAGCGAAGGCGGCAAUCUGGCUGGAAACUGACGCUGAGGUGCGAAAGCGUGGGUAGCAAACAGGAUUAGAUACCCGGGUAGUC
rnacentral:rRNA from 1 species